UACGGGAGGGUGCAAGCGUUGCUCGGAAUUAUUUGGGCGUAAAGGGUAGGUAGGUGGUCUCGUUUGUCUGAGGUGAAAGCCUUGAGCUUGACUAAGAAGUGCCUUAGAAACGGCGAGACUAGAGUCCUGGAGAGGGUCGUGGAAUUCCCGGUGUAGCGGUGAAAUGCGUAGAGAUCGGGAGGAACACCAGAGGCGAAGGCGGCGACCUGGACAGGUACUGACACUCAACUACGAAAGCGUGGGGAGCAAACAGG
rnacentral:rRNA from 1 species